UACAGAGGGUGCAAGCGUUAAUCGGAGUUACUGGGCGUAAAGGGCGCGUAGGCUGAUGUUUAAGUUAAUUGUGAAAUCCCUGGGCUUAACCUAGGAAUUGCAGUUAAUACUGGACAUCUAGAGUAUGGUAGAGGAAAGUGGAAUUCUCGGUGUAGUGGUUAAAUACGUAGAUAUCGAGAAGAACACCGGUGGCGAAGGCGACUUUCUGGACCAAUACUGACGCUGAGGCGCGAAAGCGUGGGGAGCAAACAGGAUUAGAUACCCUGGUAGUCCACGCUGUAAACGAUGAGAACUAGAUGUUGCGCAAUUUAUAUUGUGCAGUAUCGCAGCUAACGCAUUAAGUUCUCCGCCUGGGGAGUACGAUCGCAAGAUUAAA
rnacentral:rRNA from 1 species